CCCGCCAUGUGCGGGAGCUCGGGCAGUCGGGCUGAGAGGGCGACAGGACGCGUCGCCGACCGCUGGAACCUGACCGGGUAAUGCCGGCGUAGGGAGCGACCAUGAGCACGUC
rfam:Blastococcus saxobsidens DD2 complete genome